AGGCCACCAGUGUGUCACCUUCCUCACUAAUUUGAUGUCUACAACUUCCUGUUGACAACAGAAGAAAAAUCAGAAAACAAAUGUUCAACACCCAGCAAAGAGCGAUAUCCUUUUCUGCAAACAGAUGCUCAGAAUAACUGGCAACAUCAAACUCAUCCAGAAGACAGAGAAUCUGACAAAAAAGAGAGCUGGAGUGAAUCACUGGAGGGGCCAGCCCUGAAGGUGCUUUCUCAUACUCUGAAGGAUGCACAGUUUGACCUGCUUUUCUAGGUGUGACCCUGUAAUCCCAAGGUGCCACCACCUUCUCUGCUUUGACCGAUCAGAAGCUCCACCAGAGCAGAAUUCAUGAGUGUAUCCACCAUGGGGGCCGCACGGGAGCAACUGCAGAAGGAAUGAUUUUAAUCUGUUCACACUUUUCUGCCCAGUUGCCUUUACAGUAUGGCAGACAUCUACAAGCCAACUGGUCUGAGCUCCACGCUUCUUGGGUGGAUCAGAAUGAACACACCAAGUCAGAGCACAGAAAAGGUAAAUUCCAAC